rnacentral:lncRNA from 1 species
CCUUGGGGCUCCUUGAGCCCCAAGGCAAGGUCCCCUCCCUCCCACCUAUAUAUACGGAGGUAUUGGGGCUGAUUUGAGACGACUUUUCCACGGCAGCCCGACCACAUACCUCCACGGUUUUUCCUCUAGAUCGCGUUUCUGCGGAGCUCGGGCGGAGCCCUGCUGAGACAAGGUCAUCACCAACCUCCGGAGUGCCGUCACGCUGCCGAAAAAACUCUUCUACCUCUCUGUCUCUCUUGCUGGAUCAAGAAGGCCGAGAUCAUCGUCGAGCUGUACGNNNNNNNNNNAGAGCGCCGUCACGCUGCCGAAGAAACUCUUCUACCUCUCCGUCUCUCUUGCUGGAUCAAGAAGGCCGAGAUCAUCGUCGAGUUGUACGUGUGCUGAACGCGGAGGUGCCGUCCGUUCGGUACUAGAUCGUGGGACUGAUCGCGGGAUUAUUCGCGGGGCGAAUCGAGGGACGUGAGGACGUUCCACUACAUCAACCGCGUUCACUAACUCUUCUGCUGUACGAUCUACAAGGGUACGUAGAUCACUCAUCCCCUCUCGUAGAUGGACAUCACCAUGAUAGGUCUUCGUGCGCGUAGGAAAAUUUUUGUUUCCCAUGCGAAGUUUUCCAACAGUGGCAUCAUGAGCUAGGUUCAUGCGUAGAUGUCUUCUCGAGUAGAACACAAAAGUUUUUGUGGGCGGUGAUGUGCGUUUUGCUUCCCUCCUUAGUCUUUUCUUGAUUCCGCGGUAUUGUUGGAUUGAAGCGGCUUGGACCGACAUUACUCGUACGCUUACGAGAGACUGGUUUCAUCGUUACGAGUAACCCCGUUGCUCAAAGAUGACUGGCAAGUGUCGGUUUCUCCAACUUUAGUUGAAUCGGUUUUGACCGAGGAGGUCCUUGGAUGAGGUUAAAUAGCAACUCAUAUAUCUCCGUUGUGGUGUUUGCAUAAGUAAGAUGCGAUCCUACUAGAUACCCAUGGCCACCGCGUAAAACAUGCAACAACAAAAUUAGAGGACGUCUAACUUGUUUUUGCAGGGUAUGCUUGUUAUGUGAUAUGGCCAAUGAUGUGAUGUGAUAUAUUGGAUGUAUGAGAUGAUCAUGUUGUAAUAGAAAUAUCGACUUGCACGUCGAUGGUACGGCAACCGGCAGGAGCCAUAGGGUUGUCUUUAUACUAACAUAUGUGCUUGCAGAUGCGUUUACUAUUUUGCUAGGACGUAGCUUUAGUAGUAAUAGCAUGAGUAGCACGACAACCCCGAUGGCGACACGUUGAUGGAGAUCAUGAUGAUGGAGAUCAUGGUGUGACGCCGGUGACAAGAAGAUCGUGCCGGUGCUUUGGUCAUGGAGAUCAAGAAGCACGUAAUGAUGGCCAUAUCAUGUCACUUAUGAAUUGCAUGUGAUGUUAAUCCUUUUAUGCACCUUAUUUUGCUUAGAACGACGGUAGCAUUAUGAGGUGAUCUCUCACUAAAAUUUCAAGACGAAAUUGUGUUCUCCCCGACUGUGCACCGUUGCGACAGUUCUUCGUUUCGAGACACCACGUGAUGAUCGGGUGUGAUAGACUCAACGUUCACAUACAACGGGUGCAAAACAGUNNNNNNNNNNNNNNNNNNNNNNNNNNNNNNNNNNNNNNNNNNNNNNNNNNNNNNNNNNNNNNNNNNNNNNNNNNNNNNNNNNNNNNNNNNNNNNNNNNNNUUACAUCCCUGCAGGGGUGCACCACAUGUCCGGUCACGCUCGAUAACACUCUGGCCGGACAUACUUUUCUGGGUCCUGCCCGGCCUCGGAAUAUCGACACGUCGCAGCCCCACCUAAGACUAAUCAGAGAGGCCAGCCCGCCGGUCUAAAUCCUAAGCACAAAGGGUUCGUGGGCCCAGUUCCCCUUCACGCUCCUGCACGUGGCGUGGGCGGCCGACGUCAGUCCUAGCAUCCCUUAAUCACAAGCGCGAUGCAUCUCGGGACCACUCGGGCGCGCGCCGCUACAUUACUGGCAUCUGAAAAGCUUCGGCUGAUACCGCGACGCCGAGUACCCAUAAUUCUUCCCGCGUAGCCGGUUAGUGCGAAAAGGUCUCCGGCCAACCCAGAUCAAAUACCCAAAUCCAUUAGCAUUUUAAUUAAGCCAGCAUCACAGUCUCACGGGAAUCCACCCGUCUUACAACUAAUCACCAAUGAUCCCAGUAACAUGGUCGAGUAACUGUGUGGUUGUAACAUCGGGGGAAUCCGAGGUAUCACCCUCGUUGGAUUCCGAACGAUGUACCCGUCAAGGUAGGCUUAGAGGAAUCACCCUCGGGGGUCCCACACUCGCGGGGUGGCAUGACAGAGACGUCAUCGGGAAUGGUGAAAGAGGAAUCACCCUCGAUAACCACGACCGACUAGCUAUACUACAGAGAUAUCAUCAGGAGUACUUAGUGAGGUGUCACCCUCGGUAACCGAUAGUAUCUCUGUAGCGUCGUACAACAAAGGGGGGUGAAUGUGCUGUGUCGGGUCUGGCUCGUCGAUCAGAGAUCGAGAUUUGAAAACAAGCGGGGCAACUGAUCUACGGGGUCAGAGGGGAUGACUGCUCCACCUAUACUAAGCAUAUUAAAGGUACAUGACUGAAAGUAGCAGUUCAUAAAAAAUAGGCUAUGCAUCAGAUAUAGGAGCUAACUACAACAGUAGCAAAAUACUAAUGCAAGCAGUAGGAAGAAAGACAUAGGCGAUAUAGGAAUGAUCAAGUGGAGUUUGCUUGCCUUGCUGCUCUGCGGCAAAGGACUGAUCGGCAGGGUCGUAGAUGUACCCGGCAGCAGCGUCAGUCUCGGGGUCUACCGGUAAGAAGAGGGGGAAGAAACAAUAAAUAAUAGCACCGAUGCAACACAAAGCAUGACAUGGCAAGAUGCAGGCUAGACAUGAGCUAACGCAGCAACACCCGUCAUAGACAGGUCGGAAGAAUAUCUGACGAUAUUUUCCGGGUCUCGGGCUACUACCGGUAAUACUGGAAACGAUGGAAAAUGUUCCAUGUUUGCUAUGCUAGGGACGCGUGACAGACGAAUGGAACGUGUAUUCGGGUUCGUCUCGUUUUGCUGAUCAACUUUCAUGUUGAAANNNNNNNNNNNNNNNNNNNNNNNNNNNNNNNNNNNNNNNNNNNNNNNNNNNNNNNNNNNNNNNNNNNNNNNNNNNNNNNNNNNNNNNNNNNNNNNNNNNNNNNNNNNNNNNNNNNNNNNNNNNNNNNNNNNNNNNNNNNNNNNNNNNNNNNNNNNNNNNNNNNNNNNNNNNNNNNNNNNNNNNNNNNNNNNNNNNNNNNNNNNNNNNUAGGUUUUAUUUAAGAUUAAAUAUUAAUUAAUCAGAUUAAUUUAGUAGGGGACCCACGUGUCAUACUCUAAUUAUUCUAAUUAAUUAAUCUAAUUAACAGAUUAACUUAUAUAUUUAUUUAACUAAUUCAUUAACUCAUUAAUUAAUUAUUAUAUUUAUUUAUUUCUUUAUUUAAUAAAAACAUUAUUUUUAUUUUAACUGUCGCGUGGGGCCUCCCUGUCAUAGGCAGCGGCUUCAUUGGCCCCACCGGUAAGUGACCCGAGGCCAAAAACACAUUUUUAAUCACAAAUAUGUAACCAUACAAAUGUCGUAUCUCUCCACAUGCCUAUAUACGCAAAUACAUACAUAAAUACGGGUAUCAAAUACAUACAUACAUANNNNNNNNNNGGAAUUAAAAACAGAUUUAAAUGAUUUAAUAAAAGGCUAUUAUGACAUCAGCAUGAUGUCAUGCUGACAUCAAUGGUUGACUGGUCAAACUGGCCAGUGGGUCCCCGUCGUCAUAGUCACGGGUUUUAUUUAAGAUUAAAUAUGAAUUAAUCAGAUUAAUUUAGUGGGGGACCCACGUGUCAUACUCUAAUUAUUCUAAUUAAUUAAUAUAAUUAACAGAUUAACUUAUAUAUUUAUUUAACCAAUUCAUUAACUCAUUAAUUAAUUAUUAUAUCUAUUUAUUUAUUUAUUUAAUAAAAACAUUAUUUUUAUUUUAACUGUCGCGUGGGGGGCCUCCCUGUCAUAGACAGCGGGUGCAUUGGCCCCACCGGUAAGUGACCCUAGGCCAAAAACACAUUUUUAAUCACAAAUAUAUAACCAUACAAAUGUCGUAUCUCUCCACAUGCCUACAUACGCAAAUACAUACAUAAAUACGGGUAUCAAAUACAUACAUACAUACAUACGGAAUAUAACAUUUGAUUUUUUUUUUAUUUUCUCUCAAAACUCUCAUCUCCCUCUCUGUGUUAACAACUAUAACACAAAGGUUCUCUGCUAACUCCACAUAGAAGAACCAAAUGUUCGAUCCUUCCUACCGGAGNNNNNNNNNNCAACAUUUGAUUUUUUUUUAUUUUCUCUCAAAACUCUCAUCUCCCUCUCUCUGUUAACAACUAUAACAAAGAGGUUCUGUGCUAACUCCACAUAGAAGAACCAAAUGUUCGAUCCUUCCUACCGGAGUCUACCGUCGAUGGAUCGAGGUCCCGUUUGCCGGAACGGAACCGGGACGGCGAGGAGAACGACAUGGUGGGAGGAGCCCGAGGAGGGGCUCACCGACGUUGACGGGAGGGGCCGGUGAAGCCGGAGUUCGCGGGAAGGGGCGGAGGAGACGGCGUGGAGGCGGACGAGGCGGUGACGGUGACGAUGAUGCCGGUCACCAGAGAGGUCGUGCCGGCGAGGGGGAGCCGGCCGGACCCGGCGAGGCGAAGAAGUCUCCCUGCCCUGUCCCUCCUGGACCGAGCGGGAGGAAGGCCGACGGGGGCGGGGUUGUAGGCCGGCGAGGUGGAGGGCCGAGGUGGCCGGAGCCCCUGCCGGCGGGGUGGAGGCCNNNNNNNNNNNNNNNNNNNNNNNNNNNNNNNNNNNNNNNNNNNNNNNNNNNNNNNNNNNNNNNNNNNNNNNNNNNNNNNNNNNNNNNNNNNNNNNNNNNNUCGGUACUGAGCCGCAAACCGAAAAACCAUAGGCGGCCUCCAGGCCCAUGGCGCCUCCCCUUGAUCGGAAGCCUCCACCACGUCCUCACGUCGCAGCCGCAGGUCGCCCUCCGGGACCUGGCCAAGAAGCACGGCCCGGUCAUGUACCUCCGGUUCGGCCAGAUGGACACCGUCGUCGUCUCCUCGCCGGCCGCGGCGCAGGAGGUGCUCCGGGACAAGGACCUCUCAUUCGCGUCGCGGCCCAACAUCCUGGUCUCAGAGAUCUUCUGCUACGGGGGCCGCAACGUCAUCCUCGCGCCCUACGGCCCCUACUGGCGGAUGACGCGUAAGCUCUGCACGGUUGAGCUCCUGAGCGAACGCAAGGUGCGGCAGUUCGCGCCCUUCAGAGACAGCGAGACCAUGUCCCUUGUCGAGAACAUCCGCGCCGCCGGUCGGGGCUGUUGGCCCAGAACCGACCCCGAGUACUUUCUGGCGACGGCAGCGACCGACGACGAAGCGAAGCGAUCGAUCACCCGCAGUGUACAGCUAUCCAAACUAGCAAUCCAUCCUUUGACCUGUGUACGUUGCCUGAUGGAUGUGGUACACACGUACGAAACAGCUGCUAGCUAGUUACGAGCGGCUUAAUCAACUUCGCCGAGAGCAACACACGACACGGGAUUUUGAUGGCUAUAGGUGCGANNNNNNNNNNNNNNNNNNNNNNNNNNNNNNNNNNNNNNNNNNNNNNNNNNNNNNNNNNNNNNNNNNNNNNNNNNNNNNNNNNNNNNNNNNNNNNNNNNNNUGUUGAUUGGAAUACAGUACAAUUAGAAGACAUUACUGAUUUGGCCAUUGCAUCAAUGGCUGACACUGAGAUGGCCAAUUUUUUGUCAUUCCAGUAGAUGAUCAAGAUAAGGAAGAGAGGGGUCAAUCGAGUUUGCCUAAUGAUGCUAACAUAGAUGCUUGUAGCCCCGGCUAACUCUGUGCCCAACAACUACGGUAAGACGGGAGGGGGGGGGGUGUUCUUCGGAAUGACUACGCGUAAAGGCAUUUAUGCGGUGAAUCAGGUUGAAAGUGAAAGUUGCCAAAAAGUGGCAGAAUUUAAAGUGCUAGUUAUGGAUGAAAGCACAUAUGCUCCCUUGAUGGUUUUUAUAAUUCAUGGUAACAUACAUUGUCUGUUCGACUAAUACUUUUACCUAGUAUAUUUCAGAUAUAGUCCACAGAGAUGACUGGCUAAUGGAUUGUGUGGAGAAGCCCCAAGGAAGGAAAGGAAUAAGAUUGGCCAGCUUCAAGCUACAAGACUCUACAUUUUAUAUUUGUGAGAAAUCACUUUUAGGUCCAUAGGAAAGCCAAUACUAUUAAAANNNNNNNNNNNNNNNNNNNNNNNNNNNNNNNNNNNNNNNNNNNNNNNNNNNNNNNNNNNNNNNNNNNNNNNNNNNNNNNNNNNNNNNNNNNNNNNNNNNNGACCCGAGAGACUCCUCGGUCAAUAUCCAAUAGCGGGACCUGGAUGCCCAUAUUGGAUCCUACAUAUUCUACGAAGAUCUUAUCGUUUGAACCUCAGUGCCAAGGAUUCAUAUAAUCCCGUAUGUCAUUCCCUUUGUCCUUCGGUAUGUUAUUUGCCCGAGAUUCGAUCGUCAGUAUCCGUAUACCUAUUUCAAUCUCGUUUACCGGCAAGUCUCUUUACUCGUUCCGUAAUACAAGAUCCCGCAACUUACACUAAGUUACAUUNGCUUGCAAGGCUUGUGUGUGAUGUUGUAUUACCGAGUGGGCCCCGAGAUACCUCUCCGUCACACGGAGUGACAAAUCCCAGUCUUGAUCCAUACUAACUCAACCAACACCUUCGGAGAUACCUAUAGAGCAUCUUUAUAGUCACCCAGUUACGUUGCGACAUUUGAUACACACAAAGUAUUCCUUCGGUGUCAUUGAGUUAUAUGAUCUCAUGGUCAUAGGAAUAAAUACUUGACACGCAGAAAACAGUGGCAACAAAAUGACACGAUCAACAUGCUACGUCUAUUAGUUUGGGUCUAGUCCAUCACGUGAUUCUCCUAAUGACGUGAUCCAGUUAUCAAGCAACAACACCUUGUUCAUAGUCAGAAGACACUGACUAUCUUUGAUCAACUGGCUAGCCAACUAGAGGCUUGCUAGGGACGGUGUUUUGUCUAUGUAUCCACACAUGUAAAUGGGUCUUCAUUCAAUACAAUUAUAGCAUGGAUAAUAAACGAUUAUCUUGAUACAGGAAUUAUAAUAAUAACUAUAUUUAUUAUUGCCUCUAGGGCAUAAUUCCAACAGUCUCCCACUUGCACUAGAGUCAAUAAUCUAGCCCUCACAUCAUCAUGUGAAUUACAUUGUAAUAAAUCUAACACCCAUACAGUUCUGGUGUUGAUCAUGCUUUGGCCGUGGAAGAGGUUUAGUCAGCGGGUCUGCUACAUUCAGAUCUGUGUGCACUUUGCAUAUGUUUACGUCCUCUCCCUCGACGUAGUCGCGGAUGAGGUUGAAGCGUCGUUUGAUGUGUCUGGUCUUCUUGUGAAACCGUGGUUCCUUUGCUAAGGCAAUGGCACCCGUGUUAUCACAGAACAAGGUUAUUGGAUUCAGUGCGCUUGGCACCACUCCAAGAUCCGUCAUGAACUGCUUCAUCCAGACACCCUCCUUAGCCGCCUCCGAGGCAGCCAUGUACUCCGCUUCACAUGUAGAAUCUGCUACGACGCUUUUCUUGGAACUGCACCAGCUUACCGCACCCCCAUUAAGAAUAAAUACGUAUCCGGUUUGCGACUUAGAGUCGUCCGGAUCUGUGUCAAAGCUUGCAUCGACGUAACCUUUUACGGCGAGCUCUUCGUCACCUCCAUACACGAGAAACAUCUCCUUAGUCCUUUUCAGGUACUUCAGGAUAUUCUUGACCGCUGUCCAGUGAUCCACUCCUGGAUUACUCUGGAACCUACCUGCCAUACUUAUGGCCAGGCUAACAUCCGGUCUAGUGCACAGCAUCACAUACAUGAUAGAACCUAUGGCUGAAGCAUAGGGGACGGAGCGCAUAUGCUCUCUAUCUUCAUCAGUUGCUGGGCACUGAGUCUUACUCAAUCUCGUACCUUGUAGAACUGGCAAGAACCCUUUCUUGGACUGUUCCAUUUUGAACCUCUUCAAAACUUUAUCAAGGUAUGUGCUUUGUGAAAGUCCUAUCAAGCGUUUUGAUCUAUCCCUAUAGAUCUUAAUGCCUAGAAUGUAAGCAGCUUCUCCUAGGUCCUUCAUAGAGAAACUUUUAUUCAAGUAACCUUUUAUGCUCUCCAAAAACUCUACGUUGUUUCAAAUCAGUAAUAUGUCAUCCACAUAUAAUAUUAGAAACGCCAUAGAGCUCCCACUCACUUUCUUGAAAAUACAAGAUUCUCCAACCACUUGUAUAAACCCAAAUGCUUUGAUCACCUCAUCAAAGCGUUUGUUCCAACUCCGAGAUGCUUGCACCAGUCCAUAAAUGGAUCGUUGGAGCUUGCACACCUUGUUAGCAUUCUUAGGAUCGACAAAACCUUCGGGUUGUAUCAUAUACAACUCUUCCUUAAGGAAACCGUUAAGGAACACCGUUUUGACAUCCAUUUGCCAGAUUUCAUAAUCGAAAAAUGCAGCUAUUGCUAACAUGAUUCUGACGGACUUAAGCAUUGCUACGGGUGAGAAAGUCUCAUCGUAGUCAACUCCUUGAACUUGUGAAAAACCCUUUGCCACAAGUCGAGCUUUAUAAACGGUCACAUUGCCGUCAGCGUCCGUCUUCCUCUUAAAGAUCCAUUUGUUCUGAAUGGCCUUGCGGCCCUCAGGUAGUACCUCCAAAGUCCACACUUUGUUCCCAUACAUGGAUCCUAUCUCGGAUUUCAUGGCCUCUAGCCAUUUGUUGGAAUCUGGGCCCACCAUUGCUUCUUCAUAAUUUACAUGUUCAUUGUUGUCUAACAACAUGAUUGACAAAACGGGAUUACCGUACCACUCUGGAGCAGCACGUGGUCUCAUCGACCUGCGUGGUUCGAUAGGAACUUGAACCGGAGUUUCAUGAUCAUCAUCAUUAACUUCCUCCUCAACCGGCGUCGCAACGACAGGGGUUUCCCCUUGCCCUGCGCCACCAUCCAGAGGGAUGAGAGGUUCGACAACCUCAUCAAGUUCUAUCUUCCUCCAACUCAAUUCUCUCGAGAGAAACUCCUUCUCGAGAAAAGCUCCGUUUUUAGCAACAAACACUUUGCCCUCGGAUUUGAGAUAGAAGGUGUACCCAACUGUCUCUUUUGGGUAACCUAUGAAGAUGCACUUUUCCGCUUUGGGUUCCAGCUUUUCAGGCUGAAGCUUUUUGACAUAAGCAUCACAUCCCCAAACUUUAAGAAACGACAACUUUGGCCUUUUGCCAUACCACAUUUCGUAUGGUGUCGUCUCAACGGAUUUUGAUGGUGCCCUAUUUAAAGUGAAUGCAGCUGUGUCUAAUGCAUAACCCCAAAAUGAUAAUGGCAAAUCGGUAAGAGACAUCAUAGAUCGCACCAUCUCUAAUAAAGUACGAUUACGAUGUUCGGACACACCAUUACGCUGUGGUGUUCCAGGCGGUGUCAACUGUGAAACAGUUCCACAUUGUCUUAAGUGAGCACCAAACUCGAAACUCAGAUAUUCACCCCCAUGAUCAGACAGUAGGAACUUGAUCUUCUUGUUACGAUGAUUUUCAACUUCACUCUGAAAUUGCUUGAACUUUUCAAAUGUUUCAGACUUGUGCUUCAUCAAGUAGACAUAACCAUAUCUACUUAAAUCGUCAGUGAAGGUGAGAAAAUAACGAUAUCCGCCGCGUGCCUCCACGCUCAUCGGACCACACACAUCGGUAUGUAUGAUUUCCAACAAGUCACUUGCACGGUCCAUUGUUCCGGAGAACGGAGUCUUAGUCAUCUUGCCCAUGAGGCAUGGUUCGCACGUGUCAAGUGAAUCAAAGUCAAGUGACUCCAAAAGUCCAUCAGCAUGGAGUUUCUUCAUGCGCUUUACACCAAUAUGACCUAAGCGGCAGUGCCACAAAAAUAUGGCGCUAUCAUUGUUAACUCUAACUCUUUUGGUCUCAAUGUUAUGUAUAUGCGUAUCGCUAACAAGAUUCAAUAUGAACAAUCCUCUCACAUUCGGUGCAUGACCAUAAAAGAUGUUACUCAUAGAAAUAGAACAACCAUUAUUCUCUGACUUAAAAGAGUAACCGUCUCGCAAUAAACAAGAUCCAGAUAUAAUGUUCGUGCUCAACGCAGGCACUAAAUAACAAUGAUUUAAGUUCAUCACUAAUCCUGACGGUAACUGAAGUGACACUGUGCCGACGGCGAUUGCAUCAACCUUGGAACCAUUUCCUACGCGCAUCGUCACUUCAUCUUUUGCCAACCUUCGUCUAUUCCACAAUUCCUGUUUCGAGUUGCAAAUAUGAGCAACAGAACCGGUAUCGAAUACCCAGGCACUACUACGAGAGCCGGUUAAGUACACAUCAAUAACAUGUAUAUCAAAUAUACCUGAUUUUUCUUUGGCCGCCUUCUUAUCUGCCAGAUACUUGGGGCAAUUGCGCUUCCAGUGACCCAUACCCUUGCAAUAGUAACACUCCAUUUCAGGCUUAGGUCCAGCUUUGGGUUUCUUCGUCGGAUUGGCAACAGGCUUGCCGCUCUUCUUCGAAUUGCCCUUCUUGCCUUUGCCGUUUCUCUUGAAACUAGUGGUCUUAUUCACCAUCAACACUUGAUGCUCUUUACGGAGUUCAGACUCUGCGACUUUCAGCAUCGCAAACAACUCGCCGGGAGACUUGUUCAUCCCUUGCAUGUUGUAGUUCAACACAAAGCCUUUAUAGCUUGGCGGCAAUGAUUGAAGGAUUCUGUUAGUGAUAGCUUCUUGCGGGAGUUCAAUCCCCAGCUCAGCUAGACGGUUUGAGUACCCAGACAUUUUGAGCACAUGUUCACUGACAGAUGAGUUUUCCUCCAUCUUGCAAGCAUAGAAUUUAUCGGAGGUCUCAUACCUCUCGAUCCGGGCGUUCUUCUGAAAGAUAAACUUCAACUCCUGGAACAUCUCAAAUGCUCCAUGACGCUCAAAGCGACGUUGAAGUCCCGGUUCUAAGCCAUACAAGACUGCACAUUGAACUAUUGAGUAGUCCUCCUUAUGUGCUAACCAAGCGUUCUUAACAUCCUGAUCAGCCGUAGCGGGUGGUUCAUCUCCUAACGCAGCAUUAAGGACAUAAUCCUUCUUCCCAGCUUGUAAGAUUAGCUUAAGAUUACGAGCCCAGUCUACANNNNNNNNNNNNNNNNNNNNNNNNNNNNNNNNNNNNNNNNNNNNNNNNNNNNNNNNNNNNNNNNNNNNNNNNNNNNNNNNNNNNNNNNNNNNNNNNNNNNUGAGAAUUCUUCCCUGCCUGGGUGUGCCCUUAAUGAAUUCAUCCGUUGGCGGCUAUAGCGAGAUCUGGGUCAGAGUCUAUCUCCCCAUCCCUCCGGCGAGGUAGCAAUGAGCUAUCAAACGCCAAUAGAGGACAGAUCAUGUUGUCCGUUUGUUUCAGCGCCACAAUCUUUGUUCGUUCCUACAGCAUCUAAAUCAGCACUGGGAGCGGUUCCAGAUGCACUUUCAGGUGAAGUCACAUCAGACGUUUUCGAGGAUGUUCUUGCACAUUGCUGGGGUAUCGAAACCCGUGAAACCGGGGCUACUGCCAUUACAACUUGAUCGAAGGGAUGGCAUUAGGUAGACAACAACCUCUCUUGAGCGCCGCCUUGAUGGCUUUGUGAAUGAAAUUCGAGUAGAUGUUGUUUCAUCCCGCGUAUGUCUAGAAUCUUGUUAGGAUUCGUCUAUUCCAGGUCAGGAAAGAGCUUCUGUAAACUAUCGUGAUAAGCAUAGCCUUCGCCCCGCAGAGUGUUAUAUCAAUGGUUCACCAGGCUCAAUUCAUUAAUGGCUUAGGGCCGGUCUUCAGUAAGUCAAUCACCAUCGGGUGGAGGGGAAAGCCCUACGUCAAGGUCAAUGGAUUCACCUACCCCAGUCUUAGAACUUUCUAGACUUUCUUACCUGUGUUCUUCUCAACUAAGAGAAGGGCGUGCAUCUACAGCAGUGGUAUUAUCUUCCUUUUUCUUUUUGCAUCUUUGAAUCCUGGUGUGUUGGUUAGUACCGAAGCCUCUUGGCUAGUACAGAGUUGUGGUUUGAUAUAGCUACUAGAGAACCUGGAGGCACUCUCUGAAAAUAAGUAUUCUUCAUAUGACAUGUGAAUAGACAACUCCUGGUAUGCUCAUUUCAUUCCUCUUGGACCUAGAUCUUCACUUUCAAAAGUGCAGAAUUGAUGUAUCAAAGGCAUUUCAAAGGAACAGAGGGUCCAUCUUUGAAGUGAGAGACAAUUGGUUUCAACUGUGUCGUAGGGGUUGUAUUCUUAGACCUGCCAGGCGGGAGGAACCACCGUCCUGGGUAUUGAGCAUGUGAAUCAUGUUAUUUUGUAGGAAUAGAGAUUCUCAGCCAUCAUAUCUUGUUCACCCUUGGCCAUGUCUCCUUCCGAGAAUGAGUUGGUUUGGGAAGAUCAUUAGGUUACUGAGAUCGAAGUAGUGAGGCUGCUUGAGUGCCAUCGAAACCCAUUUGAAAUUGCAAUGACAUAUUGAAGUAGUAGUUCGUUCAGCACUCGAUUAGGUAUCUGGAAAUAGUUCCUUAGCUCUUUUCUAGUUCGUUAAUGACCUCAGCGGUUGAAAUGGAAUUGGAUCCCGGCUUGUUAGUUAAUAGAAUCUAAAUGAGAUUGAAUGGAAAUGUUGGUAAACCGAGGGGUGCAUCAUACUUUUCAAUAGAUGUUGGGGUUCCUAAACCAUAAGGAUACUCUUUUCAUAGAACAAGGCCUGCCAAUCGAUCUCCUAGGCUAUAAUCCAAGGGAUAGAUUAACAUGCAUCUCCUAGAUGGAAGUGUGCGACAAUAACUUUGAGCUCCUGUAGUCUUUGAUCGUUGAUCUGAAGAGGUAGGCAGCUAUGAUAAAGAAGCCAAGGGAUGAAGUGAUUGUGGUUGGCGUGCCACAUGGAAACUAGAUAGGUGGAAGCUAUUUUAGACGACCUUGCGGGUCAUCCUAACAUUGAAAUGAAGCUAUUCGAGCAGACAGUGAAUAAAGCUAUGAAUGGGGGUAGCUUUACGAGGCAUAAUGCCGGUGUGCACUUUUCUUUUCUCAAACUGUGGUUGAUCCUCUCUAAAUCUGAGGUCAACAUUUCUUUGCAAUGAACGUUUAUUAGGUAUGGAAAACCUUGUUAGGUGCAUUCGUAGGUGAGCUCAAAGCGAGGAUUCAUGCGUUCUUUCUUCUCAAGAAGACGGAAUGAUUGCUCGUUAUGAUAUAGAUUCUUAGCCAGGGGUUUGGUAGCUUAUGCCCCCUAGUUUGCAACGUAGAGCAGAAAUGGUUGAAACGGCUCCCAUUGUGUGUGCGAAUUCUUUCAAAUGCGCAUGGCCUCUCAUAUCUUGAAUCGCUCAUCGGAUUGUUCGGGAGCUAUUGACUUGGUCAUCAUUUGAUUCCACUUCCCCGCCUUUAGUUGGAAGGUUCCAUUUGUCAUAAAUUACUUGUCAAAGAUGGGAUAUCUUGGCUGCCGUGAAUGAUACUGAGCUACCGGAUCUCGGGACCAUGGUGAAUUACCUACCAUGCAAUGGGGUCUGCUUUGUAAAACAAGUAAAGUGCACGAAGACGUGUCAAAGGGAAGGAAUAGAACUUGUUUGGCUGUUCGACCCGCGUCGGUUGUUGAUAUUGGAUGAGAUAGCUCGAGAAGGGAACAAAGAAUUCCAACUGGCUGUGGCGAGCGCUCUCCUACUGUUAGUGGCUUAGCUUCGGGGCUCGACUCCUCGAUGGAAUAAAGAUAGAGCUAUUAACCCAUACGCCCUCUUGUUUAAGGUUUCAUAGUUUAGGCAACUACAAUUCUUGUUUGUAUUAGAAUGCAUAGUUGUUUGAAACUAAAGGAAAGGAAUGCUGAUUCGAAUAGGGAUAGGUGAUAUCUUUGAUAGGUCCCCAGUUGUUAGAAUGAGGGAAAACCUAGUGUUAGAUUAAGGAUUCCCCUGAUCAAAAGCGGAUUUCGUUGAGAAGAUGUCAUGGUUGUUGGGGAUCCAAAGUAGUUUCUCUUUCUCACCAGCAAAGCAUAGAAUAUGGAACAAAGAAAUGGUGUAUAAUACCCGUAUUCCAAUAAUAAAUCACUUAAUCUGCUGCCCAUGUUGAAAAACCUCUUACUUGUACGAGCUAUGGUACUGGCGUACCUCUCAAGUUGUGCCCCGAGGCCAGUUCAUCAUCUUGAUCUUUUGGUUAGUACGAACGAUGAAGCAGCAGAUACCGGGGUUCUUGCUUGCCUUUUUUCUGACUGCGACUUGCCUAGGUAUCCACCUUAGGCGCCGCUCUCUUGUUUCACUCACAAUUCCGUAGUUGACCGAGCAAUUUCGUCAUUUCCAAAAGUGCACUUCGUUUUUCACUGGCUCGGGCGUACCCCGACCGAAGGGAGUGAAAUCGGUGCCUUUUCUUUCCCAUGCAAAUUCAUAUGGCACUUCCCACAAGCGAGGGGUGAGCAGGAGAAGGAAAGAUUUAUGAAUACCUAUUGCUUCGAGACUCCACUCACCAUGUCAGUAAACCUUAUAACAGUUAUGGCAGGCAGGAGGUGAUAAGAAAGUAAUUGUAAACAGCCAUCCAAUUGAUAAUAUUUCCUACGGAAAGAUUUGGGCUUGCAUACGUUUUCGAGUAACCCAGAAUGAAUGCAUUCUUCUUUACUACCAUUAUAACCAUUGGUAAGCCGAUCUAUCAUCAAGGGUCCCUAUCGCCAAUUCUCGCCAUCAGAAAUAGGCCUUAGAAUCGCAUCCCUUUUUCUCUUAGUAGAAGUCCCAUAUCUGUCUCAUCGAUCUGGAUAUAACGCAUUGCUCGAGCAAAACAUCUUCCUUUUGCGGAAGGAUCGGCAGGUAUGAGGGACACAUAUUUGAAGCCCUCGGACACAGGCUCAUUAGGAAAGAAUUGACACUUUUGGCCUUCGUCGUCAGGCCUAGGCCUUAGGUUUACCUUGCUCUAGCGCAGUCAUAUCCAAAUUCAAGAUCAAUCGGAGAAGCUGGCCCUUCGCCUCGAGGAAAUCCCUCUGGAGAUUCAACAUACCCGGAACUGGCAGAUACUAAAGACUAAAGUCAAUGGCAUUCGGUUGGAUAAUCUACUUCGACUUCGCUAUGAGGCUUUUAUUCUGAGUAUAGAAACGGCAUCGGCAUAGGAAAUCGUACAUCAACACCUCAAACGGAGGUUAUAGAAGAGCUACCCACUGGCAUACUCCCUUUUCGCCAAGGAUUUCAGCUUGCACAGAGCUAGAGGAGAGAAACGUCCAACGCUGGCAAGUCAUCACUUUCGUCUUCUUUAGUGCACUCUAGCCCAAAGACUUCUGCUUAUCCAUAUUCAUGGAAUUGUUCUUCGCGGAGUUCAGAAAUAUCAGGAUACUGAGGGCUUCUUUCUCACGCCUAGCAAAGAUCGAGUUCUGUUCUCACUUCACUUAAUGAGCCUAUUUCUCUGUUUUUAUACCCGUUUAGAUAGAUGGGCUCUAAGGGAGAAGUGGCGCACUUUCUCGAGCUAUCUAAGCAUCCAGGGAAGUGAUUCCACAAGCUAGAGAGAUUAUCCUCUUUUCUUUUUCAGAGUUGAGCUCAGGCUAAAGCCAAGCAUGGAUCAAUGUUUGUCAAAUCAUUCUCUGUUGAGUUGAGUCCUCGCCGAAGGUGUCGUGUCGUAUAGUAGUUCUCCGGUUAUAGGUGAUAGGUGCAUGGCUUCCGCUCAUAAAGAAUGAGUGAGACCAGCGCUCAAUCAAUCAGCCACCAAUAGAGGAUAAAGGAAAAAGGGGUUCAUCAAUGAGAGGCGCAUGAGAUUCUGUAUUGGCCAACUCUUUCUAACUAUCAUUAGGACGGAUACUUCGAUUCUCUAUGGACGAUUUCCUUCUCUCUCGUUCAAUGCCCUUUGGUCUCGAGGAUCACCAUUGGUGGGGUUGGGGUCACACCCGAAGUCGUAUUGGAGAAUUGAGCGGAACUACUUCCAUGUGCACUCUUUUAUCGGGUUAGGAAGCCCUGUUUUUGAAGCAGGAAGACCUCUUCGUCAUCAUUAUUGGGGUAUGGGCCCUAAAUCAUUGGAAAAGACGAUUUUCUUUAGGGAAUUUACACGAUAUCGCCUCCUUCUGUACUAACAAGGGAAUGGAUGAGUUCACUUAAGAAGCAGGCCUGGCCGGUACUAAAACAGAGAAGUCAGCUCAGGUUUCAUCUCAUCUAAGCAGCAGCCAAGCGAUGAUUCUGGAAUCGUGCCAUGCUUGACAGUUGGACUUCUCGCCAUACAUAGAAAUGAACUGCUGAUGAGCUAGCUAUCCCCGAUAUGAUCUGGUACUAGACUUCACACAUGUUGCCAUUGUAUAAUCGGAGAAUCAAUGCUGAUGUCUACCUUCCGAAAGCUAAAUAGAUGAUUUUCGAUACUAGGAUGACUACUCCCGAGGCCUGUUUUAACUAAAGAAUUUACAGGUGGCCCGGUCGGUAAACUAUUCCCGAGAGAGAAGCAGAAACAUCAAUCUGUAUUUUCGUAUCAUAUUCCAGCAGCUCCAAUGCCUUAGAGCGGGAUCUUAUCUUCCUAGAAAGAAAUGAGUGUUGCACACGGAUAGCCAGCUACUCCUUAUGAAUGGGAUGCAUGCAUAUUUCAAUUCAUGAAUUGAAGCUCGUAGAAAUCCUUCCUAUCCGCCUAGUUACCUAUCCGGACUUGUUUCGUAGAAAUCCUACCUUGCUUUUAGGCGGAGAAAGACUAUUUUUUAGUUUCUUCGGUGCAAAAGUGCCGUAGGCAAGUCCGUUUCAUAUAGCUGCAAAAGUUAGCAAGUCCUUUUUCCCUAAGGAAACUCGAUUUCCAAUGAAAAAAGUGCGGAUCACUAUGGGUCAAAAGUAGUGUUUUUCUAGUUUACCUCAAAAAUGCAUGUUUUGAGAGCAAUAUUUUUCGAUUAAGUCCUAAUCACUUAGCUGUAAAAGUAGGCUUUUUUCAUCUCCCAAAACCCAGGCCCUCUCCACAAAACUCCACACCAAGCCUUUAGAUACGCAAAUAUGAGCUUGCCUUGGCUUUAUUGCCCUUAUCGGAUGGAAGUUACGGAUGAGAAAUGACGUAUCUUACGUAUCGAAUCUCAAGUAACGGAUGAGAAUUGACGUAUUCAAAGUGGAAAGAACGAAUAUCGAUUCUCGUGGAUGAACGGAGGAAAUGGGAACUUGGUCUUUGCACUCUUGUUUCGGGGGGGGGGGGUUAUCCCAUGACAUGAAAAAGACCAAUCAAAAACUUCUGCAAGUUAAUCCCUACUAUCAAUGUCAUGCAGGAAACUGACACACCAAAUGAUGCCACAGAAGAGAUUGCAGUACAAGAAGAAGAAAUCCCACAGGAUCAGGACUCCCCUCCAAAUGAGUAUCUCAUGCAUAUUUCGGCUCAUGCAGUUUCAGGGCAGGUCACUGCUGGCACAUUUUCAGUCAAGGUCACUGUUGGUGGACAAACAGGCAUUGACCUUAUUGAUACCGGCAGUUCAAGUACAUUCAUUGAUUUGUAUUUAGCAGUUAGAACCACUUGCCAUAUCCAAAAGAAAAAAUCGGCUAAAAUAGCUGUGGCUGGGGGAGGCCAACUUACAUCUAGGGCAAUCAUAGCAGACACUGCAUUCUGCUUCUUGGUUUUCCAAAGGUCCGGAGGAGCGGAAGAGUUUCUAGUCGAGAAGGGUCGGGCAUUAGCAAAUCCUUCAAUCCCAACUCUUGAAAAGAAGAAACCAAUUUUUAGGCAUCUCCUCCCCUCGGGUAAUAUUAUCAUAUAGAAAGAAACGUUGCGAUUCCAUUGCAUCUUAGACAUUUAACUGAUGCGGGGCGGGGAAUCGAGUCUAUUCAGGAGUGCAUUUCCCUAGCAGACGAGGUGAUUGAUGCACGAUCUUGUCAAAUUGAUUGAUUUAGCUGGCGACGAAAAAGAGCACGAAAUGCAACUUGAAAACGCAUAUGUUAAGUACCUUCGUUGAUGAGAUGCUUAACAUGUCGAUUCAUUUCAUCUUGUUUAUGAAUCAGUACCAAAUCCCGAUCAAACUCUAAAUCAAUGUUUUGUUUUUCACUCUCAAAUUAUCAUAGAGAAAGAGUUGAUGUGAGAUGAGACUAUUCUCGAUCGAUAAAUGCGAUAGGAGCCUAUGUGUUUCACGGGCAGCCGGCCAAUAGGGGAAGGUUGUGAAUCCGGCGAACCGACCGCUUUAAGAACAUGAUUGUCUUCUCUCACUCAGUUAUCAAUUGACAAAGAUGACCCAUUCUUUUUUGCCCUAAAAACAACAAUGGUAUGGUACUUUUUCUUCAAAUCGAGAUUGUGUGGGUGUCCGCUCAUGUUCACGUUACAUGCUAAAUCAGGCUUUCCUUGGAAAAACCAAGGACAACCCCUAUCUCAGUCUCCUUUCUCUUUUCAGGAGCUCCAACCUCCGCGCCUAGCCGCAGCCUAAACGCUGGUUCUAUCCCGGCCAAGCAAGCAAGGGGAACCCCGGUGGGAAGAGGGAAAGAAAGAUCAGGGGAAGAAGCGGGGUAGAGGAAUUGGUCGACUCAUCAGGCUCAUGAUCUGAAGACAACAGGUUCGAAUCCUGUCCCCGCCUCUGCAUAAGUAUCCACCGACUUUCAUGGUUUUCAUGUGAUUAUAGGUACUCUUUUCUUGAUCGUAGAACCUUGCGACUGCAUGCCAAAAUGCCUUUCAUUUCUCUUAGAGGGUCUUUCUUUGUCCUACUUAUAGUAUCUUUCCUCCAGCCUAUCGAAACUCGUGUUUUUAUUAACCAACAACACAUGCACUUUGAUAGAACUAAAGAAAAGGUUAUUCAAUCCACUAGUGCAACUGAAGUGAAGGAAUUACCUAUUCUGAACCUCCACAAGAAAGAGCUCAUAACCACUGCUUGUGAACAGUUCUCCUCAACUGAAGGCGCACUACUGUUACUAUCAGUCUAGUCUCUCGAGGGCACUCUUUCGAUCUCGAACAAACUUACUUCUCCGGAAGAGAGAUAUUCAAAAAAACCCGAUUUCCAGUCCUGUCUUAAGAACGCGACUCCAAAGACCCCCCCCAAAAGAAAAGCCAAUACGCCAUGUAUCAAAACAAUAGGGAUAGGGGUAGUUGUAUACCACCUACGAAUAGGAAGAUCCUGGGUUUUGUAAGAAAACUACGAAUAGGAAGAUCCUGGGUUUUGUAAGAAAUCCAAUUUCAUCAAUUCUAAGCACGGUAACGGUAGUGCUCCUAUCCAACGGCCGGGGAUCUAUUCGAUUUCUCAAUUUGCUAAUGCCGAUAAGCUUAGGUUGUUAUUUCAUCGUCUUGCGCUAAAAAGGCACCCUCCUAUUAUGCUAACAAAGGGAUGGAUAACGGCAAAGCGGAACAGCAAUAGCGAAAGCAGGUACAGUAACGGCGCAAUCCCUAAAAAAGAAUCAAAAUAGAGAAAUUUAGAGCGUUGCGAAUUUCUUAUUUUGAUAAUGCUACCCACACAGUCACGACUCCUAUCCGGUCACCGGGUUAAACAAUUGAUUCCUCUCAACGCAUCCCCGCGGUAAAGAGCUAGUCGUAUUCUUUUGAUAAUUCUCUAGUUGUAUUCAAGCAAGAGUCCUCGGCAUCCUACGAAAACAAGCGCUAGGAAUAUCAAUAGCGUUAGCGUUAGCGUCCUGGCCUUUGCUUGGGGAUUCCUCUAUGGAAUUCCAAACAUGCCAUUGCUUUGCCUUUGCUCGUCCCUUUGAUUCAAUCCUUCUUCUCCUCGAAAGCUACAACUAGAAAAUAUAUUCUUCUUUGCCGGUGCGAACCCUUCUUUUGAAUAACAACCAUUGGCAAGACCAGCGAAAUCCGAAUACUAAUCCGAGGAAAGCCCAUCCCUACUUCCCUUUGCUAUUGUUCCUCGAAAUCCUCUACUAGUCAUUGGUUUCAAAGCAAAGGUAUCCGGUAUAGGGGGUCGUGGGCAGGUUAGUGUUUCAUUUCGAUAGGUGAUAGUGGUAUGCCCAAACCAUAUGGUAUAGGUCUUGGAAAGGAAAGUAAAUCAAGUCCAUCUUACAGGAUUUCUUCACUUGCUUGGGCUUAAGCGGUACCAGUACCUGGAGAAUAGUUCAAUUCUCUUUCUCCACAUGGCACCCUUGUGUUGUCAAACUAAUGAAGCCCUCUCCGCCCCUGCUCCGACAAAGCAAUAAGCACUAGGGUAUUCACCCACCCGCCAGUUCGAAUACCCGGUUUCCUCCCCUUCCGCUCAAGCUAAAGGUUCUGGGCUACGCCUUCCGGUUCCGUAUUCCGAUUCGUCUUCGGAUAGCAUUAGAAAAUCCCUUUCAUGCCUUGCCAAUACAACUAUUAUUUUUCUUAGCCGAGGAGCCUUUGGAAGUACCGUUGUUGGAUCGGAUUGAGCCAUUAUAGGAUCGGAUAAAGAUUCACUCUUUGCCAAUGCCUGCUUCCUUGGUUUCCUACUUUCUGCAUCGAAAGUGACUUUUUGCUCAGUAUCGAGAACCACUUCUUCUCCUUUUCGAGGCGUAGAUCGCCCCUCAUCUGAUUUGCUUCGUCAAAGCGGAUAGAAUUAUGGAAUUGAUUAUAUUCGUAGAAAAAGCACCCCCAUUUAAUAAGUCCUCGGAAAUGAUCUCAUCCAGUACUUCUCUCAGCCUAUUUGCCAAGACUUUGGAGCAUAGCUUGUAAAUGACAUUGCACAAAGAUAUCGGCCUAUACUGUGAUAUUUCUUGGGGGUUCUACUGUCAGCAAGUGCACUAUUAUUUACUUCACCGCGUACUUAAAGAAUUGUUGGUAGCAAAGAACAGCACCUGAUAGAAAGGAUGCUAACCAAGCCUCUUCUGUUUAAGCAAGGCUAAGCCAGAAUAAGGGGUACAGUAGGCUGGUGACCCUGACGAUAGCACUAAGACUGCCUCGGGAAUCUCCUCAAUCGUUGAAGAGUGCCUCAGGAAUUGAAUAAAAGCACUGAUAUCCAUAUAAUCCUACAAUUAUGCUCUAUUCUCUUGAAGAGAAGACACCUGAACUUCGUCAUGUGCUAUUGAUCCUUUUGAACCUAAAUUCACAUUGGCUCUUUUUGGCAUACAACUUUUGUUUUUCUGUGAAAGUCCUCCUUCCUCUGGACAAAGAUUACAUUAGAGGUGCCUCGACCCGAAAGAGCAUGAUACAAUCAAUUAGGACGUAGCUCUGCUACAAGAAAGGAUAGGACUUUUGCCAGGUCUAGAGUUCGACUUCUAAAAAGAGAAUUCUAUAACAAAAAGAAAGAAAAGAGGAGGAAGCUGGACUUACCUCUGUUCGAGAUACAAUGAAUCGAAUAAAUAAGUCUUAUGGAUGAAUGUUGAAGACGGACGAUACAACCCUACUAAAAGUCACAAAGCUCACUUCGCUAUCAGGCCUAGCAGCUGCUUCAUAAUAUAGGUGAGAUAGAUUAAUUGCUUCCUAAUAUAGGUGAGAUAGAUUAAUUGAUUUUUUCUUUUUUUUGUUAUAGAAUUCUAAAUCGAGCAUUAGUUUGAACGACAUAGAAAACUCUUUUCCAACUAAGCACUCUUGAGCAUCAAGCAAUUAUAUGGCUUGGAUUCGGAAUGGUCACAGCCCUUUCAUGGCUGGAUAUGCACACCUACAGUUCAUUAAUGGAAAUUCACUUUUCUUAGCGCCCUAGUGUUUCAAAGCACAGGAGAUAUCUGUGGAACUGUUGUUUUUCUUAGGGCAAGCUAGCAGAUAGAAGUAAUCUAUCUGGUUAGCCAGGCGAAGCAUUUAGGGUUCAGUGCCUGGUUUCAAGUGUUCUUCUUCAUAGUUUGGCACUUCACUUUUUGUUGAGUAAUCCAAUGGCCUAAUGACACAUGCACAUCUUUUGGUGCUGUCGCGUUACUUAGUGACUAGCUCAAGUGCAUUUGAUCGCAAAAAAGACUGGCAUUGGCUCCGGUCAAAUCUACAGGGGGCAUGCAAAUCAAAUGUGAAAGAAAGGAAAACAUUUCUGUUUCUUCUGCUCCAAUGUCGUGAUACACUCAGGAUGUUUACGAUACCUACCCAUUAAUUGCUCUAACUUCUCGUGGUUCACCCCUAGCUAUGCCCGCUUCUAUGAAAUUCCAAAUUAUGCUUGCAAGCUCAUUGGAGCUAGGCAACUCUUUAUCAGUGAUUUCAUGCCUACCAAGCAGGUACGCUCUAAUGUAUACACCCUUUAAGAAAAGAAAUCCUUCUCGUAUUCUGCUGCUUUUUUGAUUCAUUUUAUCCCAAUAAUAGCAUAGACAUCAUAUAUUUAUUCUUGCAAGCUCAAGUGCUUGAUUGUUGACAAAUUCUUCUCUCAGCAGGGCACCUCAGGUAUCUAUCUAUAGUUUCCUGUCUUGAAGGGGGGCGACGCAGCUAUUUUCUUUAACAGCACGUCAUUUAACGAGGUGUUUUCGUUAUUUGGUCAUCACUAAAAAGUUUAUAGUGAUAAAGUGAGCCUAUUAUAUUAAGUUUAGAGGAUUCUCCUAACGUGAUGAGUUUAGUUUCUCACUUUUAAAGAUCACUGGUGGCAAUGGUACUUCCUUUUAUGCAACAACUCCUGUAUGUACCAUUUGGUAAUUGGAGUUUGAUAAGACCAUGGAUCCUUAUAUACAAAACAUACUUGGCCAACUAAGGCCCUGCAGUCCAAUGUACGAUAUAUUAUCGUCAGCUGGGGAGGUGUUUGGCAAGGGUGUGACCGUUGUUUUUGGGACAAUGUUCAAGCAGGAGGCCAUGAAUCUGUCUAGUCUCGCCAUGGGGGGUGAGUUUAUCUCAUUGCUCCUUCCUGGUGUAAAGCCGAUCACUGAGGUUUAUGUUUAUCAAACCGAGCUCUUGAACCCAAUGUUUGGAACAUCAACGUCCCUCUCCAGUCGUAAUCAGGAUUUGAUCUAUCAUGAAGUUUUAGCUCCACAUAAGAUCCACGGCAUGUUAUCUGUCGGUGCAGCGGCUUUGAGUUGUCGGAAAAAAAGCCAGGAGCUUAAGUUAUUCCUCAGUUUAGUAUAGGGUGUCGAGGGAGAGCUGCUGAAGGGAAGGUGGACGAACCCACACGAGUGAAAACCCUACUUUAUUAGUCAUCAAUGCAAUUUCUCGCACUUUUUGAUACCUCCGAGGGGGUACACUUUAAAGGCAUGCAAAACGUGCCUUACAAUCAUGUUGGAUGAGGCUAGGCGGUGAAUGCAAUGCUGGGAAGUUUUGUCCCGGUUCGAGAGGUUGAGCGAGCCAACCAAUUCGAUGUUUUGAAUGGCCAAAGAAGAGGUGUUUACUCCUCUUACCAAUUGAGGUUUCGCACAACUUUUUGACUAGGGUUUCAGAAAGGUUGUAGUUUCACGAGGAGCCCAAAAGCGACUUGUUUUACCUAUGGGAUGUGAAGAUUGGCUCUGUACCUGACACGGAUUGAUUUAAGAAUAGUGAUGAAAGAAAUCAAUUUAUGAGAGACCAUAUUUCUGUUGUUUCGGUACAACUCAAGAUCAGUUAAGGAAAUAGGGAAUAACAAUAGUGAAAAGAAUAGAAAUAGCAUGACCCUUGCUUGGGACUUCUUUCUUCUAUCUCUAUAGAGAUGACCAGGAAGCAAAUGAGAAAUGGACUUCUUUUUUACUACGGUGAAACUAUGAUCAAACUCUCGAAUCUUACGUCCGUGUGAAAGACCGUCCUAGCCGUGAGUACAAAUGUGUCGAGGCGUUCUAAGUGCCGUAGACGAAUGCUUCUUGGCAGAAUAAAUGGUAUGACACGACCUCUUUUUGCUCCAUAAACGAAUUUGAAAAAGGAAGAAGGCUUUAGCUCCCUUCCAUUGUCUUGGGUCGAAGAUCAAGCGUGAACUUCUCCCUCAUCUAAGGUUGGGUUGUGGAUAACAGACUUCCCCUUGGGCCGGAUCUUCCCAAGUAUAACACGAUCCAUGAGCGAUAUCAAUGCAGUGACAGUCCUUACUAUUGAGUCAUGUGCUGGUAAGAUGACAAUGCUCUAAAAGGUUUGUUUAAGAAAGCAAUCAUAUCCCGUCCCCAAGUGCGGUAUGGACCCCAAAGAGUUAUAUAAGUAGGAAAAUGGGAAGAACUGAGGCACCUACAGAAGUAAUGGGUCAGCUUAUGAUUUUAGGCAUGGUUACUGGAGGGACCGUCCCUACCUAUCCGUGCAAGAUCGGAUCAGUAUGGUUUUGAGAGGAAGGCUGGUGGCAUACGAAGAGAGGGCGACAGAACAUCUGCAUUCCCUUUCUUUGAUUGAGAGAAGGAUAAAGCAGAAAAAAAGACUUGACUGAAAUUCCAUUCGCUUUUUUUCCUUCCUGAGAUAUGGAAUGUCAUUAAAUUAAGUAGAUGAGAUGCCAAAUAUAGGCAUGAGUUAUUUCGCCAAGCAAAGCUUUGUGUUCUGAAGGUAAAGAAAGACGGUAAAGCCCAUUAAAAAGAGUGCCACGCAGAAGCACCUCCUGUGUCACUCGAUCCAAACCCGACACAUCUUUCUUUCUAUACGAAAUGAGUUCGACCUUUUUUUCUAAAUAGAAACAGAAAAGAAAUUUAGGAAUAGUGCGGAUGCGACGGAACGAAUCAAGUGAAACGAGUCCCCCUUAUGACAUUUUUUCAUCCAAGCAAGGGCGCGUUGCAUGGGAUUCAUCAACAAAGGGAUAGGGAUAAGGGGCCGCACGUCCAAGACAGCCUUUCAUCUCAGUGCGCCAUGGAACCCCCAUCUUCCAAUUCCUCUUACAGAGAUCGUUGACUCACUUGCCUUAUUUUGAGGAUACUUCCAAGCCAAAACAAGACAAUGGGCAGUCACCAGAUCUUCUUUAUGGAGGUGGGACCGGGGACCUCCACAGCAAGAUCGUUGUACAGAAUGCUUGAGCACAAUGGCCACACACACUUCUCCCUGACCUCCAAAAGCUCCCUAUGACCCUUUGUACGGAGCAUUCAAAGUUCCUCGCGCCGUCAAGCAAGACUUUGAUCUCGAUUUGGGAGAGCAAACAUAGCUUCGCCAUCCCGCAAAGUAUCUUUAUUGAAUUUUGACCCUAUCUAGCGCUUAAAAAUCUUUCUUCUUUCUCCGUCACUAGAUUCCGAUUAAAACGCUUGGUCCACCCAUGCUUUUCCUCUCCAUUUUUCAUAUGGAAAGGGAAAGCAGUGCCAACUUAUUGGAAUUCUGCAUGGCAUAUUUCCCAACCUUCAUUCCUGCUAUUCCAGGCUCUAGUGAUUAGUCAUAAACCUAUUGCCCGCUCCGCUUUCCCAUUCCUAUUGCUUUCGGUAUCUGAAUCUUCUUGAAUUCAAGUAGAGAAUACCAGGGCUUUCUUCUUCUUUGAUUUUCCUUGGGGCAGAGGAUAAAAAAAAUGGAUUUCCGACAUAGCACCUGCGGCAUUAGGAUUCUAAGAUUUAGGAGGGGAAGGCUGAGGAGAGGGAUCACAUGCAUUGAAGCAAUCUCAAGAUUCAGAAACGAUCAAAAUAAUGGUACGGGGAGAAGAAAGAGAGGAGAGUCACGAAAAUAGGGUAAACGCAAAGAGACGAUGAAAAGCAAUCAGAGAGGAGAGGGAAGAAUGACAGUGGAAAUCAUAAAGCUCAGUGAGGAGCACAUUACUGUGAAUAAUAAUGGAGAGCGACAUUAAAGGGGAAAACUGAGCAAAGAGAUAUAUAAAUAUAUUAGACACUUCUACUUCGUUUUCUUGUUUAGAUUCAUUACUUCAGUGAUUGAACAUGGACAGAUACCUAUAAGGACCCCAUUUCAUUGACCUUCGCCCUUUUAUAUCCCUCGUUAAGAUAUGUUAUCCGGACCAAUUCCCACGUAGAAAACCAAGAGCAGUGAGUUACAAAACCAAGAGCAGUUAGAAUCGCGUAGCUGCGUGCCCCUUUUUCUGACUAGCUUCUUGUGAAAAGCAUUUCAGGCACGAGCACACCCGAUGAACUCAGAAACCUACUAUGGAAUCAAUCAACCCAUCGCACCCGAGUGCUCUGCUUGUUGGGAAACUUCGCAUGGGAAACAAAAAAUUUCCAACGCGCACGAAGACCUAUCAUGGUGAUGUCCUUCUACGAGAGGGGAUGAGUGAUCUACGUACCCUUGUUGAUCGUACAGCAGAAGCGUUAGUGAACGCGGUUGAUGUAGUGGAACGUCCUCACGUCCCUCGAUCCGCCCCGCGAAUAAUCCCGCGAUCAGUCCCACGAUCUAGUACCGAACGGACGGCACCUCCGCGUUCAGCACACGUACAACUCGACGAUGAUCUCGGCCUUCUUGAUCCAGCAAGAGAGACGGAGAGGUAGAAGAGUUUCUUCGGCAGCGUGACGGCGCUCUGGAGGUUGGUGAUGACCUUGUCUCAGCAGGGCUCCGCCCGAGCUCCGCAGAAACGCGAUCUAGAGGAAAAACCGUGGAGGUAUGUGGUCGGGCUGCCGUGGAAAAGUCGUCUCAAAUCAGCCCCAAUACCUCCGUAUAUAUAGGUGGGAGGGAGGGGACCUUGCCUUGGGGCUCAAGGAGCCCCAAGGGGGUCGGCCGAGUCCAAGGGGGGAAGGCUCCCCCCCCCCAAACCGAGUUGGACUUGGUUUGGUGGGUGGGAGUCCUUCCCUUCCUUCCCACCUCCCUUUUUUUUUCUUUCUCUUUGAUUUUUAUCUCUAUGGCGCAUAGGGGCCUUUUGGGCUGUCCCACCAGCCCACUAAGGGCUGGUGCGCCACCCUUAUGGCCUAUGGGCUUCCCCGGGGUGGGUUGCCCCCCCGGUGAACUCACGGAACCCAUUCGUCAUUCCCGGUACAUUCCCGGUAACUCCGAAAACCUUCCGGUAAUCAAAUGAGAUCAUCCUAUAUAUCAAUCUUCGUUUCCGGACUAUUCCGGAAACCCUCGUGACGUCUGUGAUCUCAUCCGGGACUCCGAACAACAUUCGGUAACCAACCAUAUAACUCAAAUACGCAUAAAACAACGUCGAACCUUAAGUGUGCAGACCCUGCGCGUUCGAGAACUAUGUAGACAUGACCCGAGAGACUCCUCGGUCAAUAUCCAAUAGCGGGACCUGGAUGCCCAUAUUGGAUCCUACAUAUUCUACGAAGAUCUUAUCGUUUGAACCUCAGUGCCAAGGAUUCAUAUAAUCCCGUAUGUCAUUCCCUUUGUCCUUCGGUAUGUUAUUUGCCCGAGAUUCGAUCGUCAGUAUCCGUAUACCUAUUUCAAUCUCGUUUACCGGCAAGUCUCUUUACUCGUUCCGUAAUACAAGAUCCCGCAACUUACACCCCCCCCCCCCGCUUGCAAGGCUUGUGUGUGAUGUUGUAUUACCGAGUGGGCCCCGAGAUACCUCUCCGUCACACGGAGUGACAAAUCCCAGUCUUGAUCCAUACUAACUCAACCAACACCUUCGGAGAUACCUGUAGAGCAUCUUUAUAGUCACCCAGUUAUGUUGCGACAUUUGAUACACACAAAGUAUUCCUCCGGUGUCAGUGAGUUAUAUGAUCUCAUGGUCAUAGGAAUAAAUACUUGACACGCAGAAAACAGUAGCAACAAAAUGACACGAUCAACAUGCUACGUCUAUUAGUUUGGGUCUAGUCCAUCACGUGAUUCUCCUAAUGACGUGAUCCAAUUAUCAAGCAACAACACCUUGUUCAUAAUCAGAAGACACUGACUAUCUUUGAUCAUCUGGCUAGCCAACUAGAGGCUUGCUAGGGACGGUGUUUUGUCUAUGUAUCCACACAUGUAAAUGAGUCUUCAUUCAAUACAAUUAUAGCAUGGAUAAUAAACGAUUAUCUUGUUACAGGAAUUAUAAUAAUAACUAUAUUUAUUAUUGCCUCUAGGGCAUAAUUCCAACACU